GGUGCUGCUAGGCCAAACCCCGAGGAAGGCUCUGGUGUUCAUGCAAGUUUAGUUUUUCCCUUUUCAGUCUCAUUUUUAGUGUGUGUUUUAUUGCUGGGUGGAAGCUGAUUGAUUGAUCUCUUCUUGGGACCAUGGGCUGCCUAGUCCCCAUUUUAAAAUGUCUGCUGUGAAAUAAAGUUUCUGAUCUUACUGUCUGUGACAGUGUUCCCUGACAUGUCACAACUUUGAUUAUUAUACUAAUAAUUAAAUAGACUAAAACUAAACAUUUUCAAACUGCUUGAAACUAAAUUAAAUUGUAUAAAGAAAAGUGAAAUAUAAAGAAACAUUUAUUAGAAAUUACAAAACUAUAAUAACACAAACUCAAACAUCCCCUCGUGUGUUUCUAUUAGGAGAAGAUAUUGAUUGAGCAUUCCAGGGUGGAUGUAAAAGGGAAUGCUUUCCUGUCAUCCGACUGGGAUGAUGACAAAAUGUUUCUCCCACUGAAAACGUGACGUCCACAUGAACAGAAUCGGCUUUUUGGGGAUUUCCUCACCUGGACGUUAAAGACAUUUACUGUGAUACAUUUGCUCAGGUUAGGAGAUAAACGUGCAGCAGCGACACGCACACUAACAUCUGUGCUCUUUGUGUGUGAGGAGUGAGGUGGGACAUUUUAAUGCAAAACUAUUCAUUCUGUCUUAUCCCAAAUUCUCAGACAGCUGAAGGAUGUGACUGAACAUGAAGUGCAAACAGGAAGAAGUACAACACUCUGCUUCAAUGAAGACCGGGUUAAAAUCCUGGCCUGACUGAGCUGUGUGCGUGUUGUAAUAACUAAGUUAAUACUGCUGUGAUAUGUUGAUCUGUGCCAAAUGCAAACCCCACCAGGUAUGAAGCACAAGUCCUCGAGCUGACCCAGCUACCACUAUGAGCUGUUUUAAUGCUGAUGAAUGUCAAGGACCUGCAGGCCUGAUGGGUGUGGUCCUGCUGGAGGACUGGCCACACCCGAAGCUCCUGCCACACACCUGUUGCUGAUCGGGGCUUGUCGGGGGAGCUAUUUAGGAGAGUGCUGGAGCUCCCACCGACGUGGGAUCAUUGCAUGAGACUCCACGAGAAGUGUGGAGCGCCAGACAGCAGCCAGCACGAGGAGUGCUGAGACACGAGAGCGGACAGCUCAAAGACACGGACUUUUCAGGGAAAGACACGACACGGGAGUCAGGGGAGAGCACGGGGAUUUAUUGUUGUUUGUUUCCAUACACUGUAAAUAAACGCACUGUUUACACACAGAGCUCCGCGCCUGGGUCCUCCUUCCCUACAUCCCUGGCAAACCGUGACGGAAUGAUCCCGCCAGACAUGGACCCAGCAGUCUCUGAGGAAAGGCUCAGGAGGGAGGUUAUGGACAGGGUUUACAGACUUUGUGAUUUAUGGUGGGAAAAGCCCGGAGAAGGGUUGCGUCGCGCCGUGGAGAGGCGGCUGCAGGAAACGCUUUUUAAAUUCCCCUGGCUGGUGGACUCCCUCAAUUCAGUCGUCCUGGACUUCCUACUCUCAACUCUCCACCUCCACUCUCCUACUCAGGCUGCUCACCGGCCCGGACAGCUGGUGGAUUCACAGCCUGACACGCCGGCCCCGACGUCUACACGGAAACGACGUUCACGCCGCCGGCGUUCCUCACCGCAGCCGAAUUCCCGGACGUCUCAAGAGCCGGCUGUCGUGAAUAAUACGGACAAUUUUUCAUUUCCCUCACCAUCUGUUUUUGUGUCUGCAGUGGAUGAUGACGCCGCUGACGCUGCUAUAAGACAGCCGUCAGCGCAGGCAGCAUCACCUCGGUCAGAGGUCUCCACACCACUCGCUGCUUCAUCAUCUCCAGCUGUAGCACUGUCGUCUCAUCCGCCUGCAGCCACCAUUCUGCCAUCUUCUUCACCACCUGCUACGUCGCCACCCGGACCUGCUCAGCCCGAACCGGAGGAGCUCGCGCUGCCUGAGCAGGAGUUCGGCGAGCCGGAGCAGAGCCAGUGCUGCCGCCGGAGCCAGCGCUGGAGCUCAGCGAGCCAGAGCAGGAGCUCGGCGAGCGGGAGGAGCCCGCGCCGCCAGCUGGGGCGGAGGUCAUCUCACAUAUCAAAGCAGUAUAUUAGUGAGUGUGUGAAUGGGUGGAUGACUGAGUGUGUAAAGCGCUUUGGGGUCCUUAGGGACUAGUAAAGCGCUAUACAAAUACAGACCAUUUACCAUAUCAAACCAGCAUAUUAAGCUUACAGCUCUUUUGUACAUAAAUCUAUUUAAUACUUCAAUUUUUUGUCUCCAUUUAUUUAUUCAUGCUAUUUGUAUUUUAUCUAUUUGUACAUAUUAACCAGCAUCUGUCUGUGGACAGCAGAGAAAGAAUUUCAUUGAAUAGAAAAAUGCUUUUCUUUGUACACAUGACAAUAAACGCUUUGAACUUGAACAUAAAUCCAAAUUCAAAAUCAAAGCAAUGAUGAGUGACAAGAUUCAAAAUUCAGUCAGCACAAAACACCAGGUCAUAGCCCAGAACAAAAACCUCAGCAGCAAAAAAAGAACCAGGAUGUGACAGCGGCGAUGUGUUGUUUAUUCACUUCUUUAAAAUACUCCAAAGUAACAUAAACAAGCUCAGUGCUGUUUGUGUUCCCUAUCUUUAAAAUGAAUAAAUAAAACUAAAUCCACAUUGCACAGAGUUGAUUGUACAUCAGAGGGACAGCUGCUGCUGAGCAGUCUGGAGACAAAGUUAGAGACGUGCAGAGGAGGGAGGGUGGAUAUACUGGACUAAGGGUGUGAAGAUGGAGCUGCCAGGCAGCAGGAAAACAGGAAAUCCUCAGAGAAGAUCCAUGGAUGUACGUGCAGAGGAGGCAGAUGAUCUGCUGUGAUAAAUCCUAACGGGCUUUUUGUCUCAUUAAUAACUGUCAGGAGGAGUAAGAUAUUUUUGCUGCUAUUUUUAUGAUCAUUAUUACUAUUCCAUUAAUUAUUAAUAUUGAUAUUGCAUUUAGAUGUUUGAACAUAUUGGCAC
ensembl:lncRNA